CAGCAUAGAGUAGCAAUACUUUGAUGGCGACCGGCGCACGGGUGAGUAACACGUAUGCAACCUACCUACAUCAGGGGAAUAACCCGGAGAAAUUCGGACUAAUACNGCAUAAUACAGGGAUGCCGCAUGGCAAUAUUUGUUAAAGAUUUAUCGGAUGUAGAUGGGCAUGCGUUCCAUUAGCUAGUUGGUAAGGUAACGGCUUACCAAGGCAACGAUGGAUAGGGGAACUGAGAGGUUUGUCCCCCACACUGGAACUGAGACACGGACCAGACUCCUACGGGAGGCAGCAGUGAGGAAUAUUGGUCAAUGGACGAGAGUCUGAACCAGCCAAAUCGCGUGAAGGAAGACUGCCCUACGGGUUGUAAACUUCUUUUGUACAGGAAUAAAAGACAUCACGUGUAAUGUAUUGCAUGUACUGUACGAAUAAGCAUCGGCUAACUCCGUGCCAGCAGCCGCGGUAAUACGGAGGAUGCGAGCGUCAUCCGGAUUUAUUGGGUUUAAAGGGUGCGCAGGCGGGAUUUUAAGUCAGCGGUGAAAUUUUCAGGCUCAACCUGAACACUGCCGUUGAAACUGGGAUUCUUGAGUAUGGAUGAAGUAGGCGGAAUUCGUUGUGUAGCGGUGACAUGCUUAGAUAUAACGAGGAACUCCGAUUGCGUAGGCAGCUUACUAAGCCAUAACUGACGCUCAAGCACGAAAGCGUGGGGAUCAAACAGGAUUAGAUACCCUGGUAGUCCACGCCGUANACGAUGAUUACUAGUUGUUUGCGAUAUACCGUAAGUGACUAAGCGAAAGCGAUAAGUAAUCCACCUGGGGAGUACG
rnacentral:rRNA from 1 species